CCCUUAGAUGUUCUGGGCCGCACGCGCGCUACACUGAUGCAUUCAACGAGUUUCUUCCUGGUCCGAGAGGAAUGGGUAACCUUUUGAAAGUGCAUCGUGAUAGGGAUAGACUAUUGCAAUUAUUGGUCUUCAACGAGGAAUUCCUAGUAGACGUAGUUCAUCAGACUGCAUCGAUUACGUCCUGCCCUUUGUACACACCGCCCGUCGCUCCUACCGAUUGAAUGCUCAGGUGAGCCAUUCGGACUUUCAUCAUGCUGGUUUCCAGUUUUGAUGAAGGAAAGUCUUGCGAACCUUAUCAUUUAGAGGAAGGAGAAGUCGUAACA
rnacentral:rRNA from 1 species